CGUCUUUUUACAAAGCAUUGAAAAAUGGCCGCACAGCUUUUCAGCCUGCACCGCUGGUGAACCCAUCGUUUCCUCAGUCUAAAUUGAAGGAGUGAGGUGUCCUUCCCUGUUAGGAGAUAAACCACCUAAACAAGAUGCAGUGAUUGGGAGAUGGACCUUCCCAUUGCCUUGGGGUGGUAAGUAUUUAUCUAUUGGCAGUGGAGAAGACACUUUUAAUAGUACCACCUUCUCUCUUCCUGCACUGUUCUCUCUGUCCACAGAAACUGCUUUUCAAUUAUAGGCGUGGCUUGGUUUCUAUCAUGUCAGAUGAUUACAUUUCUUUGGACUUUUGUUUCUUUCUCCAACAGAUCUGUACUUAUAACAAAC